rnacentral:rRNA from 1 species
UCGCCUGGUUUAACAAAAACAUGUCCUAUUGAUAAGUUUAUUUUAGGUCAGGCCUGCUCGGUGAUUAUAUUUAACAGCUGCAGUAAUUUGACUGUGCAAAGGUAGCAUAAUCAAUUGUUUUUUAAUUGGAGACUGGUAUGAACGGUUUAACGAGGCAUUAACUUUUUUUUUAUGUAAAUUUAGAAUUUAAUUUUUGUGUUAAAAAGCUUAAAUAUGAUUGUAGGACGAGAAGACCCUAUAGAAUUUAAAUUCUAAAUAUAAUUUUAUAAUAUAUGGUAUUUAUAAAUAAAUUAUUAUGAAAGAAUUUUUGUUGGGGCGAUAGAGGAAUUUAUUUAACUUCCUUAAUUGAUUUAUAUUAUUAAUGAAUAUAUGUAUUGAUCCUUAAAAAAGAUUAUAAGAUUAAAUUACCUUAGGGAUAACAGCGUAAUUCUAUUGAAGAGUUCAUAUCGAUAAUAGGGUUUGCGACCUCGAUGUUGGAUUAAAAUAAGAUUUUGGUGUAGCAGCUAAUUUUG